CUGGGCGGGGCGAAGGGAGCCGGGAAGCGGAAGCGGUGAGCGCGCCUGGAGCGCAGCUGCGGGCGUGGGGGCGACAGGAGCCUCGGAGCCGUCCGGAGAGCGGGGCUGCCGGAGCGGGCGGCCGAGACAAAGGCGACGAAAUGAAUGCCGAACCCUUACGAAGAGAUAAAGGUUAUUUGGUACAUAUUGGUGGUCUCUGUCCUUCGGUAUCUGAGGUCUCAUUUCCAGAAAUACCAAGUUUCUGAAAUUUCAAUUUAUGAUUCUUCUACUAAUUACAGAUAUGCAUCUCUUGCUUUCCAAAAAAAAAAAAAAAAACAGUGAUGUAAAGAUGGCUGUGAAAGGAAUGAUGCCAAAAAGAACUGCAAAGAAAUGUCAAGCACAUGACCGCAGCUAGACAAUCCAAGGCAAGAUGAAUGUCAGAAGAUUUUGGCUUCCUGGAAAAAACUCACCAUGGACUUUGGUUAUUCAGAAUUAGCUACUUCUUCUGUAAGGCUAUCAGGCAAACUGAGAAGACAGAACACUAACACCACUGGGAAUCCAGCCACCUGGGGAAGGGCCAUGUCAUGCAGUGGGAGAAGCAAAUAAAGAACAUGGACCAGACUCUGCUGAACACCCUGUCAACAGUGCCAGCCCAGGGAGGCUUCCCUGUCACUUCCCAGAUGUCCCUCCUCCUUUAAAACCCAUCUGCCAUGCACCUUGACUUUGUGAAACUGGUGGAGAAUUAUGAACCUAUAUUAAAGAGGAAUUAAAGAAACCUGUGGAAAUUAUCACAACUGUCUAGGUCCUAGGAUCACUAUGAAGCCUCAAAAUGCUUGUAUGAGAAAUACAGUUAGUGAGGAGUGAACACAGAUAUUGUCCAGUAGUGGCUGAAGCCACAGUAAGUCUUGCAGCUCAAGGACUUCUUCCCAGGGCAAAGGAAGUAAGUAAUAAUCUUCUAGAGCUCAGCUGAAAGACUUUGAGUCUCCUCCUCUGGAUGGCCAUACCCACUGAACCACCUGUAGGUGGAAAUGCCACCCCCAAUCUGAAGGGACAGGAAGAAUCAUCUGAAACCCAGACAAAGGCCAGGGAAAAGAGGGGGCUAGCCAGAGAGCAGGGCAGAGCCUGGAAAACUUUCUGAGGUUGUCUCAUCAUGGACUGCAGAUGUGACCCCAAGACGGCUGGUCUGACUGCCCUAGGGAAAGGCUUUCAAGCUUUUCUGAUU